rnacentral:lncRNA from 1 species
GUGAAGGUAGUCGGUAAAGUCUACAGCUUCAGGUGCUAUGACUGGGAGUAUCCUGAAAAGUCUCAUAACAAGAAACAUCUCAAAGGUACAUUACAUAACUAAAGAUUGGACUUAUUUAGAGUAGCAAGUUUAUAGAUAACGCAUUCUUAACUAUUUAUCAGUUAUACUUUAGUUUACGUUAAAAUUAUUUUUAAAAUAAACACAAUUUUACCAUAGUUUUAAUCCUCAAUCUUUCGAUAAAAAACAAUACAAUUCUGUUUUGUUUUAAAAAUAUAUCCAUAAAUUAUUCAAACUUAAUUUCUAUACAAAAUACAAAAGAUAUAAAAAAAGUUUAAUAAUCAAUAUGUGAAAUAUAUAUUAUCUACUUGUCAUUAGAAUUUAAUAAUCCUAUCUCACAUUAAUAUUCUUUUUGACAAUGAUUGUUUAAUAUAUUGCUAUUUUAAUAAUAUUCCAAUAUAAUAUGUGACUUCAUAUUUUACUUUGUCCUAAACUUUUUUUUAUUUUGGGGCAGGUGCUGUUGUUGAGGUCACUUGCAAAGCUGGAAGCAAAAUCAUCAAGGCUUAUGGAAAAACUAAGAUCAAUGGAAAGUACAGCAUCACAGUUGAGGACUUUGAUUAUAUCAAAUAUGGUGCCACAGUGUGUAAGGCCGCCCUUUAUGCUCCACCUAAAGGAUCCCCCUUCAACAUCCCUACUAAGCUAAAUGAAGGAACUAAAUUGUACUUGAAAUCAAAGGACAAGUAUGAGGUUGUGCUUAAGGCUAAGCCAUUUGCUUAUGCUUCAAAGAAACAUUUUAAAGAAUGUGACAAGCCCAAGCCUUCACCAACUCCAUACUACUACAAAUCACCUCCACCUCCCUCACCUGUUUACAAGUACAACUCUCCACCUCCACCAGUCCAUUAUUAUUCACCACCAUAUUACUACAAAUCACCUCCUCCUCCAGUAAAAUCGCCACCAACACCUUACUACUACAAAUCACCUCCACCUCCCUCACCAGUUUACAAGUACAACUCACCACCUCCACCGGUCCAUUAUUACUCUCCUCCAUAUUCCUAUAAGUCGCCUCCACCUCCCUCACCAGUUUACAAAUACAACUCCCCACCUCCACCAGUCCACCAUUAUGAUCCUCCAUAUUACUACAAGUCACCUCCACCUCCCUCACCAGUUUACAAGUACAACUCCCCACCUCCACCAGUCCAUUAUUAUUCACCUCCAUAUUACUACAAAUCCCCACCUCCUCCUGUGAAAUCCCCACCACCCCCUUACUACUAUAAAUCACCUCCACCUCCCUCACCAGUUUACAAAUACAACUCACCACCUCCACCGGUUUACAAGUACAACUCACCACCUCCACCAGUCCACCAUUAUGAUCCUCCAUAUAACUACAAGUCACCUCCACCUCCUUCACCUGUUUACAAGUACAACUCCCCACCUCCACCAGUCCAUUAUUAUUCACCUCCAUAUUACUACAAAUCACNNNNNNNNNNNNNNNNNNNNNNNNNNNNNNNNNNNNNNNNNNNNNNNNNNNNNNNNNNNNNNNNNNNNNNNNNNNNNNNNNNNNNNNNNNNNNNNNNNNNNNNNNNNNNNCUCCACCAUCACCAUCCCCACCCCCACCAUACUAUUACAAAUCUCCUCCACCACCAUCACCAUCCCCACCACCUCCCUACUAUUACAAAUCACCUCCACCACCCUCACCAUCACCACCACCUCCUUACUAUUACAAAUCUCCCCCACCUCCAUCUCCAUCACCACCACCUCCUUAUCACUAUCAAAGUCCUCCUCCACCAUCUCCCAUUUCUCAUCCUCCCUACUACUACAAAUCCCCUCCACCACCAUCGCCGUCUCCUCCACCUCCUUACCACUAUGUGAGUCCUCCACCACCAGUAAAGUCACCUCCACCACCAAGUUAUAUCUAUGCUUCACCACCACCACCUAUCUACAACUAACCUCAAACAGCAUAAACACCGUUCUUCAUGAUAAAUCAUGUAAGUUUGUCAUUAUCAUCUUUACUUUUACGAAUGUGCAUGUGUGUUACAUAAUACUAACCAAAAUUCUUAUUUUUAUUUGUUUUCAGAUUCCAGUUUUCAUCCAGUAAUAAAAGCAAGCUCCAUUUGGAGCAAACUGAAAUUUCUAGCUACGUGUCCAAAUUCGUUAAAUAAAUGUCAGGAUGUAUUAUCUUUGAGUUACAAUAUUUGUGAUCCUGACAAUAUUUAUUAUAUUUCUUUGGUGGCAAUCUUGCACUUCCUGGUGUUACUCUAUUCAAGUGAUAGACAAAACAAAAGGGAGAAGCGAGAUUAGUUUAUUUGUGAUAUCUUUGAUUUAUUUGUGCAUAGAUCAAUAUGGAUGUGUAUGAUAGUUUUUUAUUUAUUGAAGAUUUUUUAUUGUAAUCUGCUAUUGUGUUUGCCAAAUGGUUUUAGUAAUAAAGAAUCACAUUCAAUUUCUGUCAUAUUAUUAGUAUUUGUUGUUUAUUUCUAAGAGCUACCAUUCAUGCGAAUGUGCCUAUUUAAAAUGGCUCUAAUGAUACCUAAAAAGCUUCCAAACAAUAUAUAAGCAAAGAUGUAUUGUUUACUCUUCAAUUCAACCAAUGAAGUAAGAACCAUCCUUAUUCCAUUCUACUCUUCUAUAUGAAUUGUUCGUUCAUAUAAGUAUCAGUUCAUUACCACCAGAAACUUAAAAAUCCCUAAUUGAAAGAGAUCCUAAAGUUUUAAGGAUUCUACACACAUUUUCAAGAAAGGGUUCAAAAUAUAACCUUGUCAAGCUUUGUAGAAGUAUGAUACAAUUAUUCCCAAGUAUUAUUUAUUCUAAGGAAUAGAAUUUAUUCAUGUUUUCUCUCAAUUUUGAAUUGUAAUAUUAGAGGGUGGGAAUCUUUUAUUACCAUGAGAAUAAAAAUACUAACAAUAACUCCCCACUUUCUUAUAUUUUAAAUAAAUAAAUUGUAUUUGUCAUAAAUAAAUAAAUUGUAAAACAUUUCCUGAAAUUGUAAAGUACAUACCUAACACAUUUGACAAUAUCUGCCCUCACUGCAUGCCUUGACUGCCAAGAAACAGUUAUGCACAUACUACAGGAUUGUGAGGAAGUGAGUAACUUCAGGACCGAUUUGAUUCACCAAGAUCAUUGGAGCAAAUUUUUCAGCUCAAGACUGCAACAAUGGCUGGAAUAAAACCUUUCAACUUUAUAUUAUUGGUAACAACCAAGGAAAUAAGCAUUCUCUUUUUGGAGCUACCUAUUUCAGCUUGUAGCCAAGUUUAUUUACAAUGUAUAGCUCUUAUACUCUUAAUCUAGCUCACAGUGCUGUCAGCAACAGUGGCCAUAUUGUUGAGGUAGAUUGGAAUCAUCCUCUCCAAGGUUGCUUCAAAGUGAAUAUUAAUGGAUACCUCCACUUGUGGGGUCUAAAUACAGACUCUGUUGGCAGAUAUGUUAGAAGGUUCUAUAGCAAAUUAGGCUCUUGCACAACUUUAUAAGCUGAACUUUGCGAUUUGAGACAAAUGCAUCGAAUUGGCAAAUCUUUUGAACAUCAUCAAUGUUGGUGAUUUUUUGAGGUAGACUCAGCUGUGAUUUUAUUUUUUUAUAGAUGAAUGCUAGUAAUUAGUGAUUAUGUUAGUUUUCAUAAUCGAACCAAAGACCUCCAUCGAUGCCCUUACUUACGUGGGAUUCGAUUGUGAUUGUUAACAUGGUAAAGUUUGGCUCUAACAAUAAUGGUUUUAUCCAAACUUGAGGUCUUUUAUCUUUUCCAACAAUAUGAUUGUAGCAUACUAGCUGUUGCACAAAUUUACUAGCUAUAAUUAAAAUCACUCAUCCUCAACUUUUGAUUGGGUUCUAGUUGAUUCUAUUUUCCCUUCUUUGAGUACUUUAUUGCAGAUGAUGAGGUUGUAGCCAACCUCUUUUGAUUUCUUAAUAGAAUCACUUUUGUAUUAAAAAUUGAAAAGACCCCACAUAAGAAUAAUGGUUGGAUUAAGAUAACUUCAGUCUGAAAAAUUGCAAAACCCUCCCUAUAUCACCAAAACCUGAGAAUUUCAGGACCAUAGAGGUUGGUGGAGUGGUCAUCCAGAUAACUUUAACAUAAUUAACAGCCCAAAAAGGAAAAACCUUUAUCCUAUAUUUUCAAUGUGAUGUGAUUUACUCUUAUCUGCCCAACAUUAUAAGAAUCCAAAGGAAAACACCUAAUCCCUCUCUUUUUCCUAGCUUUUUCACACAACCACUGUGGUUACCACAUUUUCUUAUGGAAUCAAUAUCCAACUUAUGUUCAAAACUAUUUCUACAUUUAUGUUAAAAAUUAUCAGAUGAAGAUAUAUUUCUCUUAAAUUCAACAAAGAUCAUGAAUUUGAUGCUCUAUUUACAUAAUUCAAACGUUCUAGUAAAUGGCAUUGACCAAUUUAAGUAUUAUUAGUAGCUUCACAUGGGGCAUAUGCAACUAAAGUCACUGCCAGCUUAGCACCAAGAAUGAGUAAAUAAAUUGACCUGCUGGAAAAGACCAAAACGUUGCUACACAUAUCUUCAAACAAAGCACAAAAAUAUCAAACAAUGGUGCUACAUUUAAUAACACUACGUUUGUCUCUAAAUAUAAGCAUACUUCAUAUCACUACAUAGAUUUAUUGUUUUUUUAAAUAUAUUUCUUAUCAAUACUACUAAUUUGUC